rnacentral:rRNA from 1 species
CCUACGGGUGGCAGCAGUGGGGAAUAUUGCACAAUGGGGGAAACCCUGAUGCAGCGACGCCGCGUGAGUGAAGAAGUAAUUCGUUACGUAAAGCUCUAUCAGCAGGGAAGAAAUACUGACCUUACGGUCAGCAGACGGUACCUGAGUAAGAAGCCCCGGCUAACUACGUGCCAGCAGCCGCGGUAAUACGUAGGGGGCAAGCGUUAUCCGGAUUUAUUGGGGGUAAAGGGAGCGUAGACGGUGCGCCAAGUCUGGAGUGAAAUGCCGCAGCUUAACUGCGGAACUGCAUUGGAAACUGGCGAACUAGAGUGCGGGAGGGGUAGGCUGAAUUCGUGGUGUAGCGGUGAAAUGCGUAGAUAUUAGGAGGAACACCGGUGGCGAAGGCGGCUUACUGGACCGUAACUGACGUUGAGGCUCGAAAGCGUGGGGAGCAAACAGGAUUAGAUACCCGGGUAGUC